GGAAGUCAUCCGGCUGGAUGAGGGGCUUGUCUUGAAAACAGGUGACUGCAGGAAUGUGGUUUGUGAGUUCGAGUCUCACGGCUUCCG
rnacentral:tRNA from 1 species